CAAACAGCUAAAUAUCAUUUUCUAUACUUGCCCAAAAAGCUAUACUUUUUAAUAGAAAAAAUGGAGCAGGGACAGAGAAGAGAGAAGUGGUUGCAGAUAAAUAAACAGAGAGAGAAAUGAACACAAAAGAGAGAAGGGGGGUGACCACAGAUCUCUCAGAGAUGAGCACUGAAGAGAAGGCACAAACACAGGCACGUGCAGAGGUUUUUUCAGAUGGUGUUGUCUUUUGAAGCAGAUGGUGAACUUGUUUGUAAAGAAAAUCAGAUGGGUCGAAUUAGUCAUGAUGGGACAGCCAGUGCCAUGUCCUUGAACUCAAAUUUGCUAUACUACAUUUAAAAAAGGGUGCAAUUUGCAUACGGAUGCAUCCAUAGGUGUAGAGGUGGUGGCCAAAAAACAGGCGAAGAAAACUAGGACCAGGUUUGAUCCUUUGUUGGUAGAUCCUCUAGCCAUUGUCCAGGUGGAGCCUGAGGAACAACCAUUGGAAGCUUUGCCUCCUGUUGAAGAGGUGCCUAGUUCACAACUUUUGGACUCGGGGCUUGCUUUGACUAGUUCUGAGGUACUGAUGCCUUUAGAGGCUCUUCCACAGAUGGAGGCACGCAGUUGCUCUUACAGGGUCCAAGUUCUGAUGCAGCACAAUGGGGUAAUAACAAAAAGGAGCCUAUCUCUGUUCAGCCGCUAAUGGAUGCACCCCACAGUUGCCCAAGAUGCUGGAUGACAUGGGAAUUGAUGAAGUGCCACUCAGGGUAGUUUUGGAUGAAAUCAAGGAGCAGAGGAGAACAAGGGUUGUCUGUAAGAAAGCCCCGAGUAUUGGUAAGGCACCGACAGCGGUCUCUCCGGCCAAAUCUUCGUCGGCGGCAAAGAAGAAGAAGUAUGCGAAAGCGGGUACUUGCUAUUUUGCACGUCUCGAGGCCAGGAGCAUACUCAAGAAAGGACUAGCAACUGCACUACCCUUUGGAGAUCCGAUUGUUGUUGAUUUGUGUUCCUCCUCUUCGAGCUCUACAUCUAGGGAUGAUGAUCUCAAUGAAGCCGUGCUGCUGGAAGAGCUUUACUUCGAUGCUGGCCCUGAUGGUCCUGGAGGUUGUUCCUCUACCCCACCCACUCUUUGAUUUAUGAAUUUCUUAUCCUGGAAUGUUAGGGGUCUGAGUGACCCCAGAAAGAAAAAUAACGUUUUGGUUUUUAGUGUCUAAGUUCAAAUCCAUACUUUUGCUCUUACAGGAAACUAAAUUACCUAGCCCUACUGUUUCAGCCGCUAGGGAAGUUUGGGGUUCUGGUGCCAUGGGUUUUGUGGUAUUGAUGCAGUUGGUGCAUCAGGGGGCUUAUGGGUCCUGUGGGAUCCUCUGAUUUUGCAUAAUUUUGAAAUUAUUAGUAAGGAUAGAUUUUUACUGGUGGGUUUUAUUGGUCCUAAACCGGGCUUUUCUUGGGGCUUUAUAAAUGUAUGUGGACUGUAUGUUCUAGCUCUUAAAGAAGCUUUCAUGGAUGAGAUGAAUGAUGUUUCUUUUCUUU